rnacentral:rRNA from 1 species
UACGGGGGGGGCAAGCGUUGUUCGGAAUUACUGGGCGUAAAGGCUCGUAGGCGGCCAACUAAGUCAGACGUGAAAUCCCCUCGGCUUAACCGGGGAACUGCAUCUGAUACUGGAUGGCUUGAGAUUGGGAGAGGGAUGCGGAAUUCCAGGUGUAGCGGUGAAAUGCGUAGAUAUCUGGAGGAACACCGGUGGCGAAGGCGGCAUCCUGGACCCAACACUGACGCUGAGGAGCGAAAGCCAGGGAGCAAAGCGGG